CACGUAGGGUGCGAGCGUUGUCCGGAAUUAUUGGGCGUAAAGAGCUCGUAGGCGGUCUGUCGCGUCUGCUGUGAAAACUCGGGGCUUAACCCCGGGCCUGCAGUGGGUACGGGCAGACUAAAGUGCGGUAGGGGAGACUGGAAUUCCUGGUGUAGCGGUGAAAUGCGCAGAUAUCAGGAGGAACACCGGUGGCGAAGGCGGGUCUCUGGGCCGAUACUGACGCUGAGGAGCGAAAGCGUGGGGAGCGAACAGG
rnacentral:rRNA from 1 species